UACGUAGGCAGCGAGCGUUGUUCGGAAUUACUGGGCGUAAAGAGUGUGUAGGCGGUGCUCUAAGUUCGGUGUGAAAUCUCCUGCUUAACUGGGAGGGUGCGCCGGAAACUGGAGUGCUCGAGCGUGGGAGAGGAAAGCGGAAUUCCUGGUGUAGCGGUGAAAUGCGUAGAUAUCAGGAGGAACACCGGCGGUGUAGACGGCUUUCUGGACCGUAGCUGACGCUGAGACACGAAAGCCGUGGGUAGCAAACAGG
rnacentral:rRNA from 1 species